rnacentral:rRNA from 1 species
UGGGGGAUAUUGCACAAUGGGGGAAACCCUGAUGCAGCGACGCCGCGUGAAGGAAGAAGGUUUUCGGAUUGUAAGCUCCUGUCGUUAGGGACGAUAAUGACGGUACCUAACAAGAAAGCACCGGCUAACUACGUGCCAGCAGCCGCGGUAAAACGUAGGGUGCAAGCGUUGUCCGGAAUUACUGGGUGUAAAGGGAGCGCAGGCGGGAAGACAAGUUGGAAGUGAAAACCAUGGGCUCAACCCAUGAAUUGCUUUCAAAACUGUUUUUCUUGAGUAGUGCAGAGGUAGAUGGAAUUCCCGGUGUAGCGGUGGAAUGCGUAGAUAUCGGGAGGAACACC